UAGCGACAAGAAAGGAGCAGAAAAUCUUCCAUUAUUUUUGCGCCUAAACGCAAAUAUCUCCUUUUUAUGCUUUGGAAAAUGAAAAUUUUAACAAUCCGAAGUUUUUCCUCAAAGAAAUGCCGAGAAAUACGAGAAAAAUUGUCGUUAACGCGGUAAAUAUUCUGAGCUUUGGAGACGCAUUUGGAUUCAACCGCCACGAUGCGUUCUUCGUUUCGAUUUACACUCGUCUGCUUCGUUUGAGAAAGAAAUGAUGUUUGAGAGACAUUGAUGGCAACAUGAGAGUUUGGAAAAGUGUCGCCAGAGAUGAUUGAGUACUGGUUGGAGAAGAUGUAGAUGCCUAAGUGUUUCUCUGAAAAGUAAGGAGCAGAUACAUGAUAAAAUAUUUUGAUAUUAGUUUUGGAACGAUUUUUUGUGAUAACAAAGUAGCAAUUAUGCAGUAUGGUUUUUGGUGGGCCAAAUUGGCAAAUAAACAAACAAACAAAAAUGUG